UUGAACCUCAGCGUCCACAGGGGGCGCUGUCUGGGUGUGCAGGGGCUGAACAUUAACCAGCAGAGUCAGCUGACCUGAGAUCAGCUCUGAGAGCAGGCUGCAGCUGGGAGCACAUGUUCCAGUGAAGCAUGCAUAUCAGUGGGGGAAUGUAACUAAACAAAAGUACUCAACUAAAGUAUGUGAUCAAGGUACUUAACUUGAGUAUUUCCAUGUUAUGAAACUAUACUUUCACACAUCCUGUCAUCCUCCGAGACAUGUAUCAGUCAGCUUUAAUUACGCUACGCUUCAAAUGCAGUUGUUCCUCCCCUUCCUGUGCGCUGAUGCACCAUGGUAUGUAUCUCCAGAUGAUUUGUAGUGUUUGUGAUAAACUGAAGGAUGGUGUUUUUAAAUGCUCCUUUAUCCUUUUACUUCACUACAUCUUAAAGGUAAAUAUUGCACUUAUUUCUGCACUCUAUAUGUGUGACACUGGAUUAUUUCUACACACAAAAUAUGAUUAGUUUAUUAAAAAGUAGUUUUGUUAUGAGUGAAUCCACAAACCAAUUUUCCUGAUGAAACUCACAUAGGCUACUUGUAACAUUUCCACAGUGUGGUAUUAUUAUUUUACUGUUCUACAAUAUCUGAAUAGUUUCAUUUAGCAUCCAUCCACUAUUGCUAUUAUUUUAUAUACAGUAUACUAACUAUUAUUUGUUGGUGUAAUAUUAUUUGGAGGCUACUUGCCCUUCUCUGUUCCCCAGAAUCCUUCAGCCGCCUCCAUGUUUGUUUUCCAAACUUCUCCUCCAGACAUCAUUACUGUGAGUAGACUGGGAGCUGCUGGCCGUGUCAACAGCUGGUCAGGUGAUGCUGCUCUUAAUGCAUCAACCCGCUAAACAUUGGGAGGGAGGGAGGGAGGGCUGCUGCACACUCCGCCUCUCUAAGGUCAUCCAAGGUGCAGAGAGAGUGGGAGUACUGAUGACAUCACAGGGACCAUAUAAGAGGAGGCGCUGAGGUCUGGCUGCAAACCUCUCUGAGCGGAGCCCUGAGGAAGCCGUCUGACUCCACCCCCCCCCCACCCCCCGCUGUGACCCGGGACACCAGAAGACACCGUCCUGGAGGAUAUGCUGUUCUGCCACCCGCAGCCCGAGUCCUACCACCAGCACUCUGCUAGUUACAUUAGAGAGGCCCUGGCACCGUUCUUGAAAGAUGAAGAAGCGAGGCUCACGGCUGAGAGUGUGUGUAAGAGGAGCCCGCUGCAGGCGGUCCUGUGUGCGGCCACCUCUCCGGCUGUGAAGCAGCAGGAGGAGACCCUCACUUAUCUCAACCAAGGUCAGUCCUACGAAAUCCGUAUGCUUAACAGAAAACUAGUGGAGUAUACAGAUAUAAGCUGCAAAUAUGUAAAGAGCAUCGUGCGGGUGGUGUUCCAUGACCGCCGGCUGCAGUAUAUGGAGCACCAGCAGCUGGAGGGGUGGAGGUGGAACCGACCUGGAGACCGGAUCCUGGAUAUAGAUAUCCCGUUGUCAGAGGGGAUUCUGGAGCCCCGUUCACACCCCAUGCAUCUGAACACCAUCGAGUUCCUCUGGGACCCUGUGAAGAAGGCUUCUGCUUUCAUCCAGGUCAACUGCAUCAGCACUGAGUUCACCCCCAGGAAGCACGGUGGGGAGAAGGGAGUGCCGUUUCGUAUCCAGGUGGACACUUUCAGCACCAAUGAGCACGGGGAGUACAUGGAGCAUGUCAGUUCUUCCAGCUGCCAGGUUAAAGUCUUCAAGCCUAAAGGAGCUGAUCGCAAGCUGAAGACCGACAGGGAGAAGAUUGAUAAGAAGGCGCUGCAGGACAGAGAGAAGUACCAACUGUCUCAUGAGAGCACUGUGCUCAAAGAGUGUUCCCCCUGGCCUGACGCUCUGAACCUCAGCAUCCACAGCAGCAGCACUCCAUCUCCAGUCUACCACAGCUCCCCCACCUCCUGCACCUUCACAGACGGCAACUGUUCUCCAACCCAGCCAGGGGAGCUGCUAGUGCCCGCCUGCUCCGAUCACCUCCUGCCCUCGUCCUCGCCGCAGGACACGCAGCAGUGGCUGCAGAGACACAGGUUCUCCCCUUUCUGCAGGCUCUUCUGCAGCUUCUCAGGUAGGAAGCAGAGUGGAUCUUCUGCUGUUGUUGCAGGUGCAGAUCUGUUGAGGAUGAGCAGGGAGGAUCUGGUCCAGAUCUGCGGUCCAGCUGAUGGGAUCCGCCUCUUCAACACCAUGAAAGGAAGUUCCAUACUACAGCUCUGCUCACCUUCCCAGGUGUAUUCAGCCCCGUCUCAUCAUGUAUGUGUGUCAGCAGCAGGCCAGACCUGCCGUAAAGCCGGGGGCUGGAGACAUCUACCACGCUCUGUACCUGGAGGAGCUGACGCUGAUGGACCUCUCUGAAAAGAUCGCUAUGCUGUACAGCCUCCCCCCGCAGCAGAUUACACACAUCUACAGACAGAAACCCAGCGGGAUCCACGUCCUAGUCUCUGACGAGAUGGUGCAGAACUUCAGGGAGGAAACAAGCUUCAUCCUCAGCACUAUAAGAGAUGAAACCACGGAUGGAUACCGCGUCGUGUUGAAGUGACCAACUCAACACAACGUUGGUCUUCCUCUGAGAACAGUGGAAUUGUACAGCUUGUAUAUAAGUCCUAAGAUGUACAGUACAGUAAAAUGCUGUAUUCAGUAGUGGGAAAUGUGGCUUUCCGUCUACUGUUGAAUGGUUUUCUUGAAUUUUCUUGAAUUUCUCUGUUUCAUUUGUAUUGUUAAGUUACUGAUUCAUGCUUCAGGUGUCUUGUAAUUAAAGGUGAAGGUGUACAUUUUCGGCUCAAACUCGUAUAAAUGCAUGAUUUUCAUGAUAAUAAAGCAGAGUAAAUGGCAUGCCAACAAAAAGGAAAUACAAAUGAACAAAAAUGUUUGAUGUUUUAAUGUCCCUGCUCUCUUUUUCUGCUUGUCCCAGAUAUGAAAUGCUCUCAUGUAGUCCAUUUGCUCUUUCUGUUGCAUAUUAUAUACAGCCUACAUUCUUGAUGAGAUAUAAUGUAACAUUUGGUAAAAGUGAAUUUGUCUUCAAUGUGUUUUGAUCGCUAUGGUUCUAUUUGUCUUGAAAUAAAGUACAUUUUGCCAAUGAUACGUAUAUCCACAAUUCCACAUAUCUUUUAUGCAGGUAUAUGAAAAGACAGUGAGCAAAACUCAGUACAAAGUACUUCUGCAGUCAUGUUUAUCUCACACUCACAGGCAGGGUGUCAUGAUCUGCCUUGUUUCCUGUUUUAUUUUGAAAAGUCUUCACCCCCUGUGUCACUUCCUGUCUCUGUGUUUUCCCGCCUGUUUGAUUAGCUGAUUGUGUUCACCUGAUGUGUUUUCCCCAGCUGUGUCUCGUCCUUGUGAUUACUCUUGCAUGUGUUUAGGUUCUGGUUUUCUGUUAGUUUUUAUCAGAUUUUUGUUCAUUGUAAUUUCCUUCUGCUAUUUUCUGCUGGAUUGAUUACACUGUAAAAAUAUUCACCGUGAAUUCACAAUAAAUACUUGGCCAAAUUUUGCAUGACUUUCACAGUAAGAUUCACAGCAAUUUACUGUGAAUGUCUUCACAGCAAUGUAUUGUAAUUUCACACCCAUGAUAUUACAAUGCAUUAUUGUAAAGGUAAAACUGUAUACUGUAACUUCACAGCUUCAAUGACUAAGGAAUUACUGUGAUAUUACAGUAUGUUACUGGGGAAUUACAUCAUUUUGUUGUACAUGCAUUACAACAAGGGCCUGUACUUUUACAUUUCUAUUGUGAAAGCAAUGCAGGAGUUGCCAGUAAUUUACUGUGAAUGUACAAUGUGUACUGUGAAAGUAAUGCAAAAGAGUUGCCAGUAAUUUACUGUGAAUGUACAAUGUGUACUGUGAAAUACAAAAACUAUUUUAGUUCACAGUGUGACAUUAGCUAGUCAUGUUAGCUUGUAAUAUAUAGAGCAGAGCUAACUAGCAAGUUAGCUAAACGUUAGCGGUUAGCCGUUUAUGCUAUGCUAGCUGUAACUAGAACAUAACUAUAACUAUAACUGAACAUUAACUAACUGGAUUCCGCUGUAAGAAAGCUGUGAAACUUUACAAUAAACUUGGCGACAACACUGUGA